GAAAUGCGAUAAGUAAUGUGAAUUGCAGAAUUCAGUGAAUCAUCGAAUCUUUGAACGCACCUUGCGCUCCUUGGUAUUCCUUGGAGCAUGCCUGUUUGAGUAUCAUGAAAUCUUCAAAGUAAAUCUUUUGUUAACUCAAUUGGUUUCUACUUUGGUAUUGGAGGUCUUUGCAGCUUCACACCUGCUCCUCUUUGUUCAGUAGCUGGAUCUCAGUGUUAUGCUUGGUUCCACUCGGCGUGAUAAGUUAUCUAUCGCUGAGGACACUGUAAAAGGUGGCCAAGGUAAAUGCAGAUGAACCGCUUCUAAUAGUCCAUUGACUUGGACAAUACUUUUAUGAUCUGAUCUCAAAUCAGGUAGGACUACCCGCUGAACUUAAGC
rnacentral:misc_RNA from 1 species